rnacentral:rRNA from 1 species
UACAGGGGGGGCAAGCGUUGUUCGGAAUUACUGGGCGUAAAGGGUCUGUAGGUGGCCAACUAAGUCAGACGUGAAAUCCCUCAGCUUAACUGGGGAACUGCGUCUGAUACUGGAUGGCUUGAGUGUGGGAGAGGAAUGCGGAAUUCCAGGUGUAGCGGUGAAAUGCGUAGAGAUGUGGAGGAACACCAGUGGCGAAGGCGACUCUUUGGCCUGUAACUGACGCUGAGGCGCGAAAGCGUGGGGAGCAAACAGG